rnacentral:lncRNA from 1 species
UUAACUCAUUAAUCAUAAAAAUGGCUCUCCAAGAAAAACUAGACUGGAUACAUCCGGAUAUAGGGUCAUAAUUAAAAAUGAAAGCAAAACAGGCUUCCCUAAAAGCACUGAAUUUCUUAGUUCAAACACAUAGCGUGGUUGAUAAUGAAAGUAAAACUGCUGACAUGUAUCGAUAUGGAAGAGCUUCGAGAUUUUUAUCACUGACCAUCUGG